rnacentral:rRNA from 1 species
GACGAACGCUGGCGGCGUGCCUAAUACAUGCAAGUCGAACGCAGGGGGGACGGGUGAGUAACACGUGGGUAACCUCCCAUCAGAGGGGAUAACACUUGGAAACAGGUGCUAAACCGAUACUGAUGGAUGGACCCGGGGGGCAUUAGCUAGUUGGUGAGGUAACGGCGCACCAAGGCCACGAUGCCUAGCCGACCUGAGAGGGUGAUCGGCCACACGGGGACUGAGACACGGCCCAUACUCCUACGGGAGGCAGCAGUAGGGAAUAGUGGGCAAUGGACGAAAGUCUGACCGAGCAACGCCGCGUGAGUGAAGAAGGUUUUCGGAUUGUAAAACUCUGUUGUUAGAGAAGCGGUAUCUAACCAGAAAGCCACGGCUAACUACGUGCCAGCCGCCGCGGUAAUUC